rnacentral:rRNA from 1 species
CGCGGCCUAUCAGCUUGUUGGUGGGGUGAUGGCCUACCAAGGCGACGACGGGUAGCCGGCCUGAGAGGGUGACCGGCCACACUGGGACUGAGAUACGGCCCAGACUCCUACGGGAGGCAGCAGUGGGGAAUAUUGCACAAUGGGCGCAAGCCUGAUGCAGCGACGCCGCGUGAGGGAUGACGGCCUUCGGGUUGUAAACCUCUUUCGCCAGGGACGAAGCGCAAGUGACGGUACCUGGAGAAGAAGGACCGGCCAACUACGUGCCAGCAGCCGCGGUAAUACGUAGGGUCCGAGCGUUGUCCGGAAUUACUGGGCGUAAAGAGCUCGUAGGUGGUUUGUCGCGUUGUUCGUGAAAACUCACAGCUCAACUGUGGGCGUGCGGGCGAUACGGGCAGACUGGAGUACUGCAGGGGAGACUGGAAUUCCUGGUGUAGCGGUGGAAUGCGCAGAUAUCAGGAGGAACACCGGUGGCGAAGGCGGGUCUCUGGGCAGUAACUGACGCUGAGGAGCGAAAGCGUGGGGAGCGAACAGGAUUAGAUACCCUGGUAGUCCACGCCGUAAACGGUGGGUACUAGGUGUGGGUUUCCUUCCUUGGGAUCCGUGCCGUAGCUAACGCAUUAAGUACCCCGCCUGGGGAGUACGG